UCAAGCGAAUAAGCGCACACGGUGGAUGCCUUGGCGGUCAGAGGCGAUGAAGGACGUGGCAGCCUGCGAAAAGUAUCGGGGAGCUGGCAACAAGCUUUGAUCCGGUAAUGUCCGAAUGGGGAAACCCACCCGCUUGCGGGUAUCCUGCAGUGAAUACAUAGCUGCUGGAAGCGAACCUGGUGAACUGAAAUAUCUAAGUAACCAGAGGAAAAGAAAUCAACCGAGAUUCCCUGAGUAGCGACGAGCGAACGGGGACUAGCCCUUAAGCUGGAAUGGUUCUAGAAAAACAGCCUGGAACGGCUGGCCAUAGAAGGUGAUAGCCCUGUAUUUAAAAGGGCCACUCCAGUGAAGACGAGUAGGGCGGGGCACGUGAAACCCUGUCUGAACAUGGGGGGACCAUCCUCCAAGGCUAAAUACUACUGACCGACCGAUAGUGAACCAGUACCGUGAGGGAAAGGCGAAAAGAACCCCGGAGAGGGGAGUGAAAUAGAUCCUGAAACCGUGUGCGUACAAGCAGUAGGAGCUCGAAAGAGUGACUGCGUACCUUUUGUAUAAUGGGUCAGCGACUUACUGUUCGUGGCAAGCUUAACCGUAUAGGGGAGGCGAAGGGAAACCGAGUCUGAUAAGGGCGCAUAGUCGCGGGCAGUAGACCCGAAACCGGGUGAUCUAGUCAUGGCCAGGGUGAAGGUGCCGUAACAGGUACUGGAGGCCCGAACCCACGUCUGUUGCAAAAGACGGGGAUGAGCUGUGAUUAGGAGUGAAAAGCUAAUCGAACCCGGAGAUAGCUGGUUCUCCUCGAAAGCUAUUUAGGUAGCGCCUCAUAUGUAUCCUCUCGGGGGUAGAGCACUGUUAUGGCUAGGGGGUCAUCGCGACUUACCAAACCAUUGCAAACUCCGAAUACCGAGACGGACUGUAUGGGAGACACACGGCGGGUGCUAACGUCCGUCGUGAAAAGGGAAACAACCCAGACCCACAGCUAAGGUCCCAAAUUCACUGCUAAGUGGAAAACCAUGUGGAAAGGCACAGACAGCCAGGAGGUUGGCUUAGAAGCAGCCACCCUUUAAAGAAAGCGUAAUAGCUCACUGGUCGAGUCGGUCUGCGGGGAAGAUUUAACGGGGCUAAGCAGUGAACCGAAGCUUGGGGUGUGCAUAUUUAUAUGUACGCGGUAGAGGAGCGUUCCGUAAGCCGUUGAAGGUGGAUUGAGAAGUCUGCUGGAGGUAUCGGAAGUGCGAAUGCUGACAUGAGUAACGAUAAUGCGGGUGAAAAACCCGCACGCCGAAAGCCCAAGGUUUCCUUGCGCAACGUUAAUCGGCGCAGGGUGAGUCGGCCCCUAAGGCGAGGACGAAAGUCGUAGUCGAUGGGAAGCAGGUUAAUAUUCCUGCACCUCGCGUAAGUGCGAUGGAGGGACGGAGAAGGUUAGGUGUACCCGGCGUUGGUUGUCCGGGGGAAAGGCGGUAGGUUUGGAUCUUUGGCAAAUCCGGGAUCCUUUAAGACCGAGCACCGAGACGAGCCUUUAAGGCGAAGUCACUGAUACCACGCUUCCAGGAAAAGCUCCUAAGCUUCAGCUUACGCAGACCGUACCGUAAACCGACACAGGUGGGUAGGAUGAGAAUUCUCAGGCGCUUGAGAGAACUCGGGUGAAGGAACUAGGCAACAUGGCACCGUAACUUCGGGAGAAGGUGCGCCCUUUUUGGUGGCUCAUGCGAGCUAUAGCUGAAGAGGGCCGCAGUAACCAGGCCGCUGCGACUGUUUAUCAAAAACACAGCACUCUGCAAACACGAAAGUGGACGUAUAGGGUGUGACGCCUGCCCGGUGCUGGAAGGUUAAUUGAUGGGGUCAGCCGCAAGGCGAAGCUCUUGAUCGAAGCCCCAGUAAACGGCGGCCGUAACUAUAACGGUCCUAAGGUAGCGAAAUUCCUUGUCGGGUAAGUUCCGACCUGCACGAAUGGCGUAACGACAGCGGCGCUGUCUCCACCCGAGACUCAGUGAAAUUGAAAUCGCUGUGAAGAUGCAGCGUUCCCGUGGCAAGACGGAAAGACCCCGUGAACCUUUACUAUAGCUUUACACUGAACGUUGAGUUCGUCUGUGUAGGAUAGGUGGGAGGCUAUGAAACCAUGGCGCUAGCUGUGGUGGAGCCAUCCUUGAAAUACCACCCUGUCGUGCUUGACGUUCUAACCUAGGUCCAUAAUCUGGAUCGGGGACCGUGUAUGGUGGGUAGUUUGACUGGGGCGGUCUCCUCCUAAAGAGUAACGGAGGAGCUCGAAGGUACGCUCAGCGCGGUCGGACAUCGCGCACUGUGUGCAAAGGCAUAAGCGUGCUUGACUGCAAGAUCGACGGAUCAAGCAGGUAGGAAACUAGGACUUAGUGAUCCGGUGGUUCUGUAUGGAAGGGCCAUCGCUCAACGGAUAAAAGGUACUCCGGGGAUAACAGGCUGAUACCGCCCAAGAGUUCAUAUCGACGGCGGUGUUUGGCACCUCGAUGUCGGCUCAUCACAUCCUGGGGCUGUAGUCGGUCCCAAGGGUAUGGCUGUUCGCCAUUUAAAGUGGUACGCGAGCUGGGUUCAGAACGUCGUGAGACAGUUCGGUCCCUAUCUGCCAUGGGCGUUGGAGAUUUGAGAGGGGCUGCUCCUAGUACGAGAGGACCGGAGUGGACGAACCUCUGGUGUUCCGGUUGUCACGCCAGUGGCAUUGCCGGGUAGCUAUGUUCGGAAGCGAUAACCGCUGAAAGCAUCUAAGCGGGAAGCGCGCCUCAAGAUGAGAUCUCCCGGGGCACAAGCCCCCUGAAGGAACCAUAUAGACUAUGUGGUUGAUAGGUCAGGUGUGUAAGUACAGCAAUGUAUUGAGCUAACUGAUACUAAUGAUCCGUGUGGCUUGACCAU
rnacentral:rRNA from 1 species